AAGGGCAAGACUGGCUCGGGAGGCUUCCAGGGGAUUUUAAUCGUCCUGGGGCAGGGGUAGGCCUAGGUCUGGCCUUGAGGUCCCCGAUUCUGAGACCUCAGGGAAGAAUUCUCAUACUUUAGAGGCCGCACCCUCUCCGAGCGCGCUCGCGGGCGUUUGGGCGCCGAUGAGGGGCUUUCUCCGGGCGCGAGUGCACGAAAGGUAGCGCGAGUCUCUUCUCAGGCGACCCGGGAUAAGAGGACAGGAGAGCGGGGUUUUCUGACUUCCAACUCAUUAGGGACCAGAGAGAAAGGCUAAUUGCUAAAACUUUUGACACUGGAAAACUUGGUUAGAUUAGUAACCAAAGAUAUCAUCAUCUUAGCAACAGGAAAUCUUGGAAAAGGUUUUCUUUCUUCAGGAUCAGACACAGUAACUGAUGGAGUGGCUCUGCCCAUCAGGAUUUGAAAACCUAAAAUCAGAAUCUACCACUUGGUUUAAGUCUGCCCUGAGCAAUCUAUUCUUUAGCAACAGGACACUUGCGUAAUAUGGGAGCAUCUUUUCUUCUUCACUUCUCCCUGAUCUUGUAAAAUGUGAUACAACUUUUUUCAUAAUUUUUAAAGUCUACUUCAUGGGAAAUCUUGCUGCAAAUACAAUAUAAAAACUAAAAUUCAUUCCUUGAAAGAUGUGUGCAGAUGUUAAUUAUUCAUACUGCACGACUGAGGAUUUUGGAGUCAGAGAUUCACCUGCAAUAUUUGGAAUACCAGUGGAGGUCUACAUCAAUGCAGAAUUUAUACAGCAGCUGGUGCUAGUCAAAGCUAAUGAUGGAAUUUCAGUUUAAUAAAAAGACCCCCAACUGAGCACACCAUCUUGAAAAAAGUAUACUUAUCAAACAGCUUUCAAUCAGUUCAAGAGAGACACCUUAAUUGGGAAGAGGAAUAUUUGAGAGUAGUUUGUCAUUGUGCCAAUUCCAGAUCAAUAACUUCACGUCUGUGCUUUGGUAGACAUUGCUUUUGC